rnacentral:lncRNA from 1 species
UACAGGGCGUGGCCUAACAGCACCGGGCUGUUCCCCUCCUCGAGGCCGGCUCCUGCGCGGAGCCUGACGUGCAAACGCAGGGGGUCCACUACCCGCCUCGAGCGCGGGCGGGGCUGCCAUGCAAACGACGACUCAAAAGGAAGAAGCCGCCGCUCCGCCUCCCCGGAGCCCGGCUCGCGUGUGGGGGAGGGGAGGCGUGGGCGUGGCUUACCCGAAGCGGGCGGGGCAGCCCCUCGCGGAGCCGGCGUCGGAAGUGUGCUGUGCGGCACGGCCGGGAGCAGCUGUCGGCAGCGCGGGAACAUGGCGAGCGCCGCGGGAGCUCCGGCGAGCGGCGCCGGCGAGGAGGAGAACUUUGAAGAUGCCUUUGAAACCAUCCCAGUGUAUUGAUGGAUUAGAAUUAGGCUGCAGCACGGAUUGGGAAAAUCUCCCAGCAUCCUCUUCCUGCAGAGGCAUCAGCAGCCAGCAUUGACUGUAGCUGCUGCCACUCUAAUUGACGUUUCUUUUAAAUUCUGAUAUGGAGAGCUCCUGUAACGCCAGCUGCUGCCUUGUGAACUUUUAUCUCUCUUUUUUUUUUUUGCUUGAUAACUAAUUAAUAAGAACCCCAUAGCUAUUGAGAAAUAAAACAGACUGUUCAUUUUUCUCUAUAUGCUCU